rnacentral:rRNA from 1 species
GAUGAACGCUGGCGGCAUGCCUAAUACAUGCAAGUCGAGCGAAGCGGGGACGGGUGAGUAAUAUGUGGGUAACCUCCUAUAAGGCUGGGAUAACUUCGGGAAACCGUAGCUAACCCGGUUACUAAUAGAUGGGUCCUCGCUGCAUUAGCUAUUUGGUAAGGUAAUGGCUUACCAAGGCAACGAUGCAUAGCCGACCUGAGAGGGUGAUCAGCCACACUGGAACUGAGACACGGGCCAGACUCCUACGGGAGGCAGCAGUAGGGAAUCUUCCACAAUGGGCGAAAGCCUGACGGAGCAACGCCGCGUGAAUGAUGAAGGCCUUCGGAUCGUAAAGCUCUGUUAGUAGGGAAGCGUUACCGAAUCAGAAAGCCACGGCUAACUACGUGCCAGCAGCCGCGGUAAUUC